rnacentral:tRNA from 1 species
GCCACCUUAGCUCAGCGGUAGAGCAACUCUUUUGUAAAGAGUAGGUCCUCGGUUCGAAUCCGAGAGGUGGCUCCA